UCAGUCUUUAAAGGCCACCCUGGGUCUUUCUGGCCACAAGAUGGGUGGCGUGCCUGCCAGGAUCUCAUCAGUAUGCUAAAUGUGUUUUUAUUUGCAUCCAGGGUUUGGUUUUAUGGAAGUGAAAACCAAGGGUUGAACCCCUGGAUGGAAAAUAGAGUCAUGAUGCUGUCUAAGGAGGAACGUUUUCCACUCGUGAUCAUCAAAGUUUUACUUUUAAUAGCUGUAUUUUGCAAGGCAAGUCUCAAGUCUUUGAGGGGCAAGUAAAAGUCAAGUCUCAAGUAUUUGAAGGGCUGGACUCGGGCUACUUGGUGAACCUGGACCUCGGCCUCUGGCGGAUGCUGAAUGUGGACGUUCACCAAGGAUGGGUGGAGAGACACUUGGGACAGAGAUAUCCAGAUUUUACAUAAAACAGGUGUGACUGGCAGGUGCUGCUGCAUGGGUGUUGCUCAUCUGAGAGCAAUCAGCUGGGCUACUUAUGGAGUGGAAGCCCAGAGGGAGGCGUCAGCUCAUUUUGUUACUUGAUCACCCUUUGCUAAAGGAAGUCGUGGAACCUUUCUGGUCUCCGUUUUCACUCAUGUCAUGUUCAGAGGAGUUUGGGAAGUCCAGCUUCGACACCUCAGCCCUGAGCCUCCUCUCUGCUUCCAACUCCAAGCCCAGCUUCUCAGGAGCCACCUGAGAACCACCCAUCAACCUGCCUGUCCACCCUCCAACGUUAAAACUCUCCAACCAUAGUGGAGUUUCCUGGAAGAGAAGGAAACGAAGCACUUCAUCCUCCGAAAACUGUUCGCAGCCUGUCAGCCUCAAGCCACCAUGGAGAAGGACUUAUUUCCCGCCCGGUCUUGCCAAGAACCCAUCCCUUAGAAACCCCGCGUUUGUCCACCAGUUCCAGUCCUGGUUCCAGUCUGACCUUUAAGUGUGUUUCUCAAUAAACUGUUAAAAUGC